CGCGGCCUAUCAGCUUGUUGGUGGGGUAAUGGCCUACCGAGGCGACGACGGGUAGCCGGCCUGAGAGGGCGACCGGCCACACUGGGGCUGAGACACGGCCCAGACUCCUACGGGAGGCAGCAGUGGGGAAUAUUGCACAAUGGGCGAAAGCCUGAUGCAGCGACGCCGCGUGAGGGAUGACGGCCUUCGGGUUGUAAACCUCUUUCAGCAGGGAAGAAGCGAAAGUGACGGUACCUGCAGAAGAAGCGCCGGCUAACUACGUGCCAGCAGCCGCGGUAAUACGUAGGGCGCGAGCGUUGUCCGGAAUUAUUGGGCGUAAAGAGCUCGUAGGCGGCUUGUCACGUCGGAUGUGAAAGCCCGAGGCUUAACCUCGGGUCUGCAUUCGAUACGGGCUAGCUAGAGUGUGGUAGGGGAGAUCGGAAUUCCUGUGUAGCGGUGAAAUGCGCAGAUAUCGGGAGGAACACCGGUGGCGAAGGCGGAUCUCUGGGCCAUUACUGACGAUGAGGAGCGAGAGCGUGGGGAGCGAACAGGAUUAGAUACCCUGGUAGUCCACGCCGUAAACGCUGGGAACUAGGUGUUGGCGACAUUCCACGCCGUCGGUGCCGCAGCUAACGCAUUAAGUUCCCCGCCUGGGGAGUACGG
rnacentral:rRNA from 1 species